rnacentral:rRNA from 1 species
GGGUUGUGAGGUUAAGCGACUAAGCGUACACGGUGGAUGCCCUGGCAGUCAGAGGCGAUGAAGGGCGUGCUAAUCUGCGAUAAGCGCCGGUAAGGUGAUAUGAACCGUUAUAACCGGCGAUACCCGAAUGGGGAAACCCAGUGUGAUUCGUCACACUAUCAUUAACUGAAUCCAUAGGUUAAUGAGGCGAACCGGGGGAACUGAAACAUCUAAGUACCCCGAGGAAAAGAAAUCAACCGAGAUUCCCCCAGUAGCGGCGAGCGAACGGGGAGGAGCCCAGAGCCUGAAUCAGCAUGUGUGUUAGUGGAAGCGUCUGGAAAGGCGCGCGAUACAGGGUGACAGCCCCGUACACAAAAGCGUAUGUGCUGUGAGCUCGAUGAGUAGGGCGGGACACGUGGUAUCCUGUCUGAAUAUGGGGGGACCAUCCUCCAAGGCUAAAUACUCCUGACUGACCGAUAGUGAACCAGUACCGUGAGGGAAAGGCGAAAAGAACCCCGGCGAGGGGAGUGAAAAAGAACCUGAAACCGUGUACGUACAAGCAGUGGGAGCACCCUUUGGGGUGUGACUGCGUACCUUUUGUAUAAUGGGUCAGCGACUUAUAUUCUGUAGCAAGGUUAACCGAAUAGGGGAGCCGGAGGGAAACCGAGUCUUAAUUGGGCGUUAAGUUGCAGGGUAUAGACCCGAAACCCGGUGAUCUAGCCAUGGGCAGGUUGAAGGUUGGGUAACACUAACUGGAGGACCGAACCGACUAAUGUUGAAAAAUUAGCGGAUGACCUGUGGCUGGGGGUGAAAGGCCAAUCAAACCGGGAGAUAGCUGGUUCUCCCCGAAAGCUAUUUAGGUAGCGCCUCGUGAAUUCAUCUCCGGGGGUAGAGCACUGUUUCGGCUAGGGGGUCAUCCCGACUUACCAACCCGA